ACGGGUGAGUAACACGUGGGCAACCUGCCUGUAAGACUGGGAUAACUCCGGGAAACCGGGGCUAAUACCGGAUAAUUCUUUCCCUCACAUGAGGGAAAGCUGAAAGAUGGUUUCGGCUAUCACUUACAGAUGGGCCCGCGGCGCAUUAGCUAGUUGGUGAGGUAACGGCUCACCAAGGCAACGAUGCGUAGCCGACCUGAGAGGGUGAUCGGCCACACUGGGACUGAGACACGGCCCAGACUCCUACGGGAGGCAGCAGUAGGGAAUCUUCCGCAAUGGACGAAAGUCUGACGGAGCAACGCCGCGUGAGUGAUGAAGGUUUUCGGAUCGUAAAACUCUGUUGUUAGGGAAGAACAAGUACCGGAGUAACUGCCGGUACCUUGACGGUACCUAACCAGAAAGCCACGGCUAACUACGUGCC
rnacentral:rRNA from 1 species